AAGCUACAACCUUCAGGAGAAAUGCAUUGUGGAAUUGGGAAAUCGGCUUAAGGCCCAUCAAGCUCCAUUUAGGUGCAUGCUGGCCCUUUCAGGCAUAGUGAUAUCGGAGUCUUAAAGGGUGUCUAUAGUACCAGCAGCAGAGCGCCUCCCUCUUCGGUUCCUGAAAUGGUCACUGCAAAGAGACUUUCAUCUUCCAGAAGAGAAAAGACAACCAACAUCACAGCAGUACAGGAUACUGUCUAGAAGUUCAGCCUCCACGCCAUCUGUGAUAAGUACCUCAGCGUGUGGUGGAAGAUUUGUCGUUCUUGAUCUCUUAAGGAGAUCCCAAUGAGGUGGGAGGUGAAGUGCAAGAAGCCAUCAGGCCUAACAAGAGCUGAAUGGAACAAACUCAUUGUCUGGGGGCAGACUGGAAGGUGACUACUAUGGAAGAGAUGGCCUGUAUGCAUUCUGCAGUCCAGGCUGGGGUGAAGGCCACCAUCAUGUUUGAGAACCUGGAAGUAUCUUGGAUAGAACCCAGCGUGCAUGGAAGUAGGUGACACCAGUUCUAUAGAGUCCUUUUGGAGAAGCAAAACCACCUCUUCUUCAAGGAAGAUCUCAAAGACCACAGAAAUCCUUCUCACAUUGCUCAGAUGUAUUGCUGACACUUCAAAAACAAGGACGGAUUCACC